rnacentral:tRNA from 1 species
GAGGGUUUAGCUUAAUGAUAAAGUGCCUGCUUAGCAUGCGUGAAGUCCUGGGUUCAGUCCCCAGCACAUUCA